rnacentral:Y_RNA from 1 species
GGUUGGUCCGAAGACAGUGGGAUUUCAAAUGAUUGCUACAGUCAGUUACAGAACUCCUUGUUUCUCUCCCCUCUCCCACUGUCAACCUCGACUAGCCUUUU